AGAAUCAACGCUGGCGGCGUGCCUAACACAUGCAAGUCGCACGAGAAAGGGGAGCAAUCCCUGAGUACAGUGGCGCACGGGUGAGUAACACGUGAAUAAUCUACCUCCGAGUGGGGAAUAACUGAGAGAAAUCUUAGCUAAUACCGCAUAACACUUACGAGUCAAAGCAGCAAUGCGCUUGGAGAGGAGUUCGCGGCCGAUUAGUUAGUUGGCGGGGUAAUGGCCCACCAAGACGAUGAUCGGUAUCCGGCCUGAGAGGGCGCACGGACACACUGGAACUGAAACACGGUCCAGACUCCUACGGGAGGCAGCAGUGGGGAAUUUUGCGCAAUGGGGGAAACCCUGACGCAGCAACGCCGCGUGGAGGAUGAAAUAUCUUGGUAUGUAAACUCCUUUCGAUGGGGAAGAUUAUGACGGUACCCAUAGAAGAAGCCCCGGCUAACUUCGCGCCAGCAGCCGC
rnacentral:rRNA from 1 species